rnacentral:rRNA from 1 species
UACGGAGGGGGCGAGCGUUAUUCGGAAUUAUUGGGCGUAAAGAGCUCGUAGGCGGUUUGUCGCGUCUGCUGUGAAAUCCCGAGGCUCAACCUCGGGUCUGCAGUGGGUACGGGCAGACUGGAGUGCGGUAGGGGAGAAUGGAAUUCCUGGUGUAGCGGUGGAAUGCGCAGAUAUCAGGAGGAACACCGAUGGCGAAGGCAGUUCUCUGGGCCGUAACUGACGCUGAGGAGCGAAAGCGUGGGGAGCGAACAGG